UUUACCUACAGCGAGAAAGUCACCCAGUGGUCGUCUGCAGCAUCUGCCAACGGAAGCAUUAGCCUUGGCUCACAUGGCUCAGACCUCCCGUGGGCUUCUGUCAUUGCAGGAUGACCACCCGGAGCAUAUGUACUGAGCUACAGCGGUGUCACACAUGUGGCCUCGUCUCAUCAAUCGUUCCCCAUAUAGGGGCCACCGUCACUGUCCUAUUUUAUGCUCCAUCCAGAGGCUCAGAAGAGGCGAGUGGCUACCCCAAGGUCACAUAGCUGAUCAGUUGUGCUACUGGGAUCCCAAGUCAGGUUGUCUUGAGUCCAGAACCCACCCUCCCUGCCUCUCCAAGGCCAGGCCCCCAUGACUCCUGCUG
rnacentral:lncRNA from 1 species